GCUCCCUGAUGUUAGCGGCGGACGGGUGAGUAACACGUGGGUAACCUGCCUGUAAGACUGGGAUAACUCCGGGAAACCGGGGCUAAUACCGGAUGCUUGAUUGAACCGCAUGGUUCAAUUAUAAAAGGUGGCUUUUAGCUACCACUUACAGAUGGACCCGCGGCGCAUUAGCUAGUUGGUGAGGUAACGGCUCACCAAGGCAACGAUGCGUAGCCGACCUGAGAGGGUGAUCGGCCACACUGGGACUGAGACACGGCCCAGACUCCUACGGGAGGCAGCAGUAGGGAAUCUUCCGCAAUGGACGAAAGUCUGACGGAGCAACGCCGCGUGAGUGAUGAAGGUUUUCGGAUCGUAAAACUCUGUUGUUAGGGAAGAACAAGUACCGUUCGAAUAGGGCGGUACCUUGACGGUACCUAACCAGAAAGCCACGGCUAACUACGUGCCAGCAGCCGCGGUAAUACGUAGGUGGCAAGCGUUGUCCGGAAUUAUUGGGCGUAAAGCGCGCGCAGGCGGUUUCUUAAGUCUGAUGUGAAAGCCCCCGGCUCAACCGGGGAGGGUCAUUGGAAACUGGGGAACUUGAGUGCAGAAGAGGAGAGUGGAAUUCCACGUGUAGCGGUGAAAUGCGUAGAGAUGUGGAGGAACACCAGUGGCGAAGGCGACUCUCUGGUCUGUAACUGACG
rnacentral:rRNA from 1 species